CGUAAAUUAUCACACACUGUAACUGGUUCAAUACUAAAUCAUGUUUUUGGGUGAAGUAUCAGUUGCAUUAAUUAUAUUAUCACACCUUACUUUAAAAGAGACUUAAAUAAAGAAUAAGAAUUGUUGAAACGAGCCAGUGAUGGUACAAAUAUAAGUUUUAAAAAAAACAGUACAGUCGGCAAGUUAUAUAUACAGUGUGUUCAAUAGUACCAACCUUUAAAAGAAACGUGUCAACAUUUCAUGAAAUUUCAACAGCGUAUUCCUAAGUUACAGUCAUUGAAGUGAAUCUACUUUCGUUAAACAAUGGAUAAAAAUGAAUUUUGAACGUUGAUUAAAAACUGCUAUUGAUGGAAAAAAACUGUGAAAACCCAGAAAUGGCUUGAAAAGUGUUAUAAAAAUUUUGCCCCGUCGAAAACAAAACAAAUAUUUAUCGCUGGCUUUCUGAAUUUCAAUGCCAUUGUAUAGACACAAAUGACAUUGAACGCUCAGGAUUCCCAAGUGAAGCAGUUACGCCAGAAAACAUGAAAAAAAAUCCAUAAAAUCGCAUUGAAAAAUCGUAAAGUGAAAAUGCGUGAGAUGGGUGACAUUGAACAGAUCUUAAUUGAACGUGUGCAUCAUAUUUUACAAGAACAUUUAGGUAUGAGAAAGCUAUCCUUGAAAAGGGUGCCAUGUUUGCUAACAGUAGAUCAAAAACAACAACGUGUUGAUGAUUUACAGAGCUUUUUGGAGAUAUUUAACAAGAAUAAGAUGACAUUUUUGCGUUGAUAUGUGACAAUGGAUGAAACGUGGAUCCAGAACUACACUCCCUAAUCAAAACAACAGGUAGCUGAGUGAACUGGAUCUGGUGAAAGAACUCCGAAGAGGCCACAAACGCAGCAAUCAUCAGGCAAGUUUAUGGCCUCGGUAUUUUGAGAUGCGCAUGGAAUUAUAUUCAUUGAUUAUCUUAAACAUCAAUAAAAAAGAUCCUGUUUUAUCAAGACAAUACAUCGUGUCACAAAUCAUUAAAAACGAUGAAAAAAUGCAUGAUUUGGGAUUUGGAUUGCUGUCACACCCACUGUAAAGUCCAGAUAUAGCCUCCAGCAACUACUACCUUUUUGCGAGUCUCAAGCGGAUGCUCCAGGGAAAAAGAUUCAGUUUGAAUUUAGAAGUUUGUCCAAAACUGAGACGUAUUUUAAGGGUAAAGAUAAAUUUUUUUAUUUGAAAUGCAAUUAGAUACGAAUUGGAUCGUUUGAAGUAUUAUUCAAAAUCGGUUUUGUGAGAACUAAAAAUAAAAGGUAAUAGACACAAAGAAAGCAAAACAUAUCAUAGUAAAAUUCUCAGCUAC